rnacentral:rRNA from 1 species
GGGGAAUCUUCCACAUUGAACGGAAGUCUGAUGGGGCACCGCCGGGGGGGGGUUAAAGGUUUUGGGUUCGAAAACCUCGGUGGUAGGGAAAGAACCGUUAGGUCGGGAAUGGAAGGAACCUUGCGGGUCCUUAUUUGGAAAGCCAGGGCAAACUAGUGGCCAGCAGCCGCGGUAAUACGUAGGUGGCAAGCGUUGUCCGGAAUUAUUGGGCGUAAAGCGCGCGCAGGUGGUUUCUUAAGUCUGAUGUGAAAGCCCACGGCUUAACCGUGGAGGGUCAUUGGAAACUGGGAGACUUGAGUGCAGAAGAGGAAAGUGGAAUUCCAAGUGUAGCGGUGAAAUGCGUAGAGAUUUGGAGGAACACCAGUGGCGAAGGCGACUUUCUGGUCUGCAACUGACGCUGAGGCGCGAAAGCAUGGGGAGCAAACA